rnacentral:rRNA from 1 species
AGCAGCCGCGGUAAUUCCAGCUCCAAUAGCGUAUAUUAAAGUUGUUGCAGUUAAAAAGCUCGUAGUUGAAUUUCGAGAUCAAAUUGUUGGUCGUGCCUUGGUACGUACUGGCAUUAUUGGUUUCUCCCUUCUGAAGAACCAUGAUGUCAUUAAUUUGGUGUCUUGGGGAAUCAGGACUGUUACUUUGAAAAAAUUAGAGUGUUUAAAGCAGGCUCGCGCUUGAAUACAUUAGCAUGGAAUAAUGAAAUAGGGCGUUUGAUUCUAUUUUGUUGGUUUCUAGGAUUGACGUAAUGAUUAAUAGGGAUAGUUGGGGGCAUUAGUAUUCAAUUGUCAGAGGUGAAAUUCUUGGAUUUAUUGAAGACUAACUACUGCGAAAGCAUUUGCCAAGGAUGUUUUCAUUAAUCAAGAACGAAAGUUAGGGGAUCGAAGACGAUCAGAUACCGUCGUAGUCUUAACCAUAAACUAUGCCGACUAGGGAUCGGAUGAUGUUAAUUUUUAAUGACUCAUUCGGCGCCUUACG